GGGAGAGAUUGAAUAUGUUUGUAAACACUCCGGCCAGCUGGUUUGCGCAUGCUCUGAGGACGUGGCUAAGGAUGCCGUCUGGGAUGGCAGCUUUGCGAGGGUUAACACGCUUAAAUGUCUAACUCACGUCGGCCAUGGAUAACGAGAGCUCACAGUCCUUGGGAGUGGCCAGUGACUUUUGCACUGUGUUAUCCUCAAAGCGGGCAAAGAAGGUGUUACGUCUUGCUCCCAGACAAGCUUCAGUGUACGCGACGUGGCUGGUUUUCCCUUUGUAAUCCAUGAAUGUCUGGAGUCACUACCUUCUGAGUGGUCAGGCUGGGGACAGUGACACUGGAGAUGCGCGUUCAUGAGAAUUCUCUUUUUUUUUCAGCCUUUGAAUGAAUACAACGUCACCCGGUUGGAAUAUUAUCGCUAUUUUAUGAGAAAAAUAGCAUAAAAAUAGAUUUUAAACACCGUUUGACAUGCUUCGAAGUACAGUAAUAGAAUAUUUCGACAUUUUUUGUCACGAAAUGCGCUUGCGCGUCACCCUUCGGAUAGUGACCUGAACGCACGAACAAAACGGAGCUAUUUGAAUAUAAACUAUGGAUUAUUUGGAACCAAAACAACAUUUGUUGUUGAAGUAGAAGUCCUGGGAGUGCAUUCUGACGAAGAACAGCAAAGGAGAAAGUAGUUCGUAGGGAUGUGUGUGUCUUUCAAAACAACUGUCCAGGGGACCUCCGAGGAUGUCCGGACCUCCGGCCCCCCAAACAGUUGUGACCAUCCGGGGCGUCCAGAUCUCUGUCUCUCACCACAGCAGCCAUCAGCCCAGAAAAGCAUGAAGACAGAACAUCUUAAAGAUAAUCUAGGAAUCCAUUCUUCCUCAUGGAACAUUUUGAAGGAUGCAGGCUGUACACGUGAAAUACAGGGAUUGUCAGAAGUACAUUUGUUAUGAGGGGCAACUGACCUUCAAAUCCUUUUUGGAUUAUGUUGCCAAUAAAUUUGACAUUCCAACCUUGGACUUAAAAGUCUAUGAUGAAUCGAAGACUGAAGUUGAUGAGGUGUUUGAGAAACAAGACCUUGGUGUGCUGGGAGAUUUGUUUACCCCAAGACACAAAUCCUGAUGAUUCGUUGAGCUCCUCUGCAAUCAGCUCCUUAUCAAAAUACAGUAGAGACAAUGAGGGGGACUCCAAUGACACCAUUAUAUUGCAGCCGAGUCCUGCUACAAGAAAGACAGCUGAGGAUAAUUGUCUAUCUCAUAUGAUUGAAGACAUUCUGAAGAACAAACCUGGAGGAGAGAGGAUCAUGAAUGAGUAUGCUCGGACAAAAAUCCUAACAGAUAGCAGAAGACGUGAUAUGGUCAAGAUAUUGGUUGCACAAAUGACAAGUGAACAUGGGACAAGUCCUUCAAGGCAUGUUAAAGAGGACUACGCAAAGGGCAUCAUUGCCUUGUUCCCAUACCUGGCCGAUCCUAGGAGCAAGUUUGGUUAUGAGCAUUAUUACAAUGCAGAAGAUGGGAGUGGAUAUCUAGCAUGGAGACUGAAAUCAGAGGGACGACAGAAGACCAUUUGAUUGUAGUUAGUCUCAUUCAUGACACAUGACCAGAGAAUAAUUGUGGUCCAAAAGCUGAUAGAGACCCCUUCAGAGAGGAAAACUGUCCAACAACAGAAAGCCUGUGUUGUGAGGCCAUUGCACUGAAGAAUACAGCUGGUGAAGCAAUUGUAAAGGAGAAGAUGAAGCAGACGUUCGCCUAUCGCCAAAAGAUGGUUCAUGACCCGGUGAAGUCCUCUGAAAUAUUCACAGCUGUUCCAAGACAUAGCAGGAAUGAUUGAGCAAGAUUUUAGUCUGAUGUUUGGUGAUGCAACCUCUGCAAAGUUCCUGGAGAAGUGGCCUACUCUCUACAAGCAGAAAGUCAUUGACCAAAGCCGGGGCUUUACAUAGACAGAUGACCUGCAAGACCUGGUUCAAAAUGCUGAAUCCACAACAGAAGUGGAAAAUGGAUGGGACAGUGACAUGUCCCCCACUUUGGUCUUUGUCCACCUUCUGCCACCGUCACCUCAUGGCCGCAAGACACCAGGAAAAAUCUCAGCCAGACAUGCCAGUGACCACAUUGUGAAGUUUAUCAAGACUGGGACCAGCAUCCAGGGGCAUCUGGAAAGCGUCAUGGAAAGCCUUCAACCCUAUCAGCUUGCUGUGGGGACCCAGAGGAGUGGGAUUCACAAGUACUUCAUUGUGAUUGACAAACAUGCAAUACCUUGUAAGUCACCAGACCCUCUUGCCUGUUUUGAUGAGCUAAUUUUGUCUUUGUUACCUCAUACAACCAGGAUCUGGUUAAUGUGUACAACUUCUUGCAAACCACAAUUUAUGAAAUUGAUGUUGAUACCACUAAGGUUAAUCCUAUGGUUGCAGAGUUGAGGGCUCGGAUGCUGCAUUGAGUUACUAAAAGUUUUGAAGUUGCAAAGGGUUAAAACGCAGCAUAGGAAAUAACCUUUUUCAUUUCACACAAACCUUUUCAUAUCAUUCAUCUAAAAUGUUGUAUUUUGCUUGCAAAAGCCCCCAGGCAAAUGCUAAUUCCUUGACAAAACACUUUGUCCACAGACUUUGUCCAGGAAAGACAUUUCGUCUUAAAUGCGGUUAGGCUGGUUGUUCACAAGUUUAUGGCACUUUUUCUGGGUUCAGAAAGCAUCUUAUAAAGCACAUGAACCUUGUUCUGAUCAUGAAGGCCCCUCUACAGCUGAAUAUAGCAGUCAUUUUGAUGACUUGCCAUCAACAAGUUCCCCUUCUGACUCAGUCCUUGUCAAUAAGAGUCUUGCGCUGCAACCAUAGCUGAAUUUAAAGUGCCAGGUGUAGGUGAAACAACCAGUAACUCUUUGGUAAUUUCCAUGCAAGAGAUAAUUGAUGAUAUUCAUAGUCAAGCUAAAGAAUCUGUGAAGAAGUGUGUCUAUACAGGAGCCUAUUAAAAGUGACAUUGAGUGUAAAAUUGAUCAGUGUUUUCAAAAAAUUGAAAAUCCUUUUGGUGUAUUAAAUUCUGAAAGUAAGAGAAGGCAGUAUUUUAUAGAAAAGUGGGGAAGGGUAGACCCAGUGAAUACGUUCUUGGUACAAGAUCUGAUACUCAACGCAAUCGGACUACUGGAGGCUAUGAUCCAUUUUGUUGUUUCUAAUACAUUUGUUUACAUGCCAAUUUUGAAAACAUUACAGUUUAUUUUCAAACACCCUAAUAAAAAGGAGAUGAUGCAGACCUGAUUCCAGUUCAAGAAAACUUUGACUUAUGUGAUGGAGAUCUGUUCAAGAGCCAUGCUCUAUUUUCAAAACAGAAGCAUGCAAUUCAGAUACAGCUUUUCUAUGAUUUUGAAACUGCAAAUCCUCUUGGAUCAAAACAGGGAAUACAUAAGUUUCACCUUACGGAAUUUUCCUCCAAAGUUCAAGUCAUUUCUGCUUAAUAUUCAUUUGGUUGCUUUAUUUCAUGCCCAAUACGUUUAAACAUAUGGCUUUUCUAAAAUACUUGAUCCAAUUGUGCAGGAUAUUAAAGUACUUGAGAGGGAUGGAAUUAUGGUCCCCUUGUAUGAUCAACCAGUGUAUGGAACUAUUGUCCAAGUUACAGGUGACAACCUUGGUCUUCACUGUUUAUUUGUUUUUGUUGAAUCAUUCAGUGCCAGAUAUUGUUGCCUCUUUUGCCUUGCUGAGAAAGAGGACUUUCAGACUGAAUUUGAUGAAGAUUCACCCUAGAUAGUUAUGCCAACUCGAGCACUUCAUGCAAUGGCAGACAUUUAACACCAACAGAGUAAUGAUCGGUCCGGGUAAAAUGCUAUCUUUAAAUAUGGUGGACUGGGGCUGUAAGAUGGCUGAGAUUCUUCAGGUACCAAUUGACACCAUGGUUUUAAAUGUUAAAUGGGCCAAACACCAUGGAAAUAUGUAUCGUUUAGUUUGUCUUAAAGUCAUUGUGAGAUGCCAGUUUUUCAGAAAAUCCACCAUGUUGUUACUGUUUACUUUUGCCCUACAAACAAUAUAUAUUGAUGAGCAUUUUAAUGCAUAUAGAGUUGGGUGUACAACAGAGGGAUCUUAUGUAGUUGAUGUUAAAGAGCUUUUCUGUCUCAAAGCAUUUGAUAUACAGAUGUCUUACAGUUAUGAUUCAAGUUUGUUUAUUGUCCCAUACUGUUUCCUGUGACUCUAAAAACUGCACAGUAAGCUCUUUAAAACCAAGAUGUAUUGUAUUGCAAUAUUGGCUUUUUUAUUUACUUCUAAUAAAGGUGGGACAGAUAUCAAAAUGUAAUUUUACAGAGGCCACAAUUUUAUCAUCAGUGUUUUUGAUAUGAGAUGCCAGUUUCAUAAAAUCCUCCAUGUCAUUGUUAAAUGAUUGAAUUGCAAUAUUGAGCCUUUUUAUCUACAUGUAUUAAAGUGAACAGAGGCCAACAUUUCAUUUUAGUCCACAUUUGUAUUUUAUCAGUAUGUUGAUGUAUGUAUUGCAAAUGUCUUACAUUUAAGAAUAAAGUGAUUUGUUAAAUACUGA
rnacentral:lncRNA from 1 species